GUGUACCGAGGUACAGAUCCGCGCUGCACUCCCUCCUCUCCCACCCAAGGCAGCUGGCGGUGUGGAGCAGGAGCCGGACGUCCGCCUCUCCCUCCCAUGGCGGCAGGCGGCACGGAGGAUGGGAUCGACGCCCUCCUCGCCAUCUGAGGCGGGAGCCUAUGGGAGAAGCCGACGCGGCUGGUGCUCCCUUCCGGGUCCAUCUACACCGGAAUAUGCAUCGUUGUCCACCGCCAACUCCUCCCUCGCCGUCCUCAGUUCACAAUAAGGGGGAAGAACCGCAAGGGCUGAGCGGCGGCCAGCCUCGAUCUCCCCCUGGCCGGAGCUACUUCCCUAUCCAAUCCCCUUGCCCGACUGCCCAAGCUAGCUGCGCUGAGCUGCUAAGCUCUCGCCUGUCUGAGUUCCCACAGCUGGCCCGCUUUUUACUCCCUCCUCUAUCUUCGGCGCCGCCUUCUUGACUUCGCGGUGAGCGGCCGGAUGCGGUAACGAUGCCAACCACCAUGCCCCGCCUAAGCUCUCCAUCGGUCGCGAGCCCACACUGCUGCCGCCUCGGAGCAGCUUCUGCCGGAGGGAUGGGCCAUCCACGAGCUCCUGCAUUUUUCUGCUACCGAAUUCCAGGAGGUACACAAUUAUUUUCUCUUGGCCAGUUUGAAUUUUCAGUUCCUCCCUAGAGAUGUGGGGAUUGCCUCUUAGGGUCGAUUUGGUGUCGUGAUUUGGAUUUGAUUUGUUGGGUUGAUGUGUUUUCAUGGUUCUCUUUUGGCCUGAAGGCGAGUUGGGGCGUUGGGGUGUGUAGGACGUGGGCAGCAGUCAAAACAGCGAGGUCGGACUCCCUCUUCACGGCCGCCGACGAGGAGCUUCUUGCGGUGAAGUCAGCGGCCGCCAUUUCCAGGCAGGCUCAGCUGUGGCGGGAGGGGGCCAUCCUCGCCUCGCUGUGCUCUCCCUCCCCUACCUUGGCUCAUGCGUUAAAGUUUUUCCCCUUCCCCAUGGCUAACCUGUCAGAAAUUUGGUUCCUAAUGCAACAUACGCCUUGCCCAUUAUAUUGCAACCCUCAAAUGAUAUGCAUUCAUUAUACAACUUUAUAUCUUAUUGUGGCUUUAAUUUUUUCUGAAAUUUCUUUGGUUGGAGAAUUAUAUGUGUUCGUUUUGCGUUUGUUGGCUGGUACAUUCUUCUUUCUGCUUGCAAGAAUCUGAAAUUGCUGGUUGCUACAUUGCUACAGUUAAGUUAAGAAAACAUAUGAUUUAUGAUGUUGUCGAUCUGACGUUAAAACUUUGUUAUUAUGUGCCUAUUAGCUACCUAAGAAUGUUGGUUCUUCACGCAUCAUCCUUUAUGGUAGUACCCGAGAGAAAAGAUGCUGGUUUCUGCUGAGACCUUGGGUCAAAAUUGGAGGAUGACGACCUGGUCCUGUCCAGGUACUGGAGAUCGAGAGCAUGUAAAUGGCACUGGAAUCUCAAGGAUAUAAUUUACUUCAGCGUUAAGAUUACCAGCUACGGCCGGGGAUAUCGUUGGGUUCAAACAGACCAAUGUGUUACACACUUAUAGGAUUCAGCAGGCGAUGCUCAUGUUUCCCUAGAUAAUUUCUCCCUUUAUUAUGAAUGGGUGAGAAUCCCUAUGUACUGCUACCCUUUCUAUUUGUGCUGGACUAAUAGUGCUAUCACUGCCUUUUUCUUCUUGAGUACUAAGAAAAUUCUUCCUGAACAAAAAUCUUCCGUGUCAUUAUUUAAGAAGUGUGGCAUUUACGUCUAUACUAAGAAUGUUCUUAGGGAUUAUGAUACUUAAUGAGAUGCUUCUAUGGAUUAGUUUAGACCCUGAAAUAUUUUCAUUUGGUUAAUUGGUCUUCAUCCAAUCAAAUAUUGCACAAAGUAUAUCCUGCUUACUUAAUAAGAAUUUUGUGUUGCUAGCUUUGUGUCGCAUUUUCAGUCCUGCAAAGAGAAUGGCUGAACUGCCUCCUAUUUGGAUUUGUGAACUCAUAACACUACUGGCUUUUGUUGAUGGCUUCGACAGAAGAACGAGAGAUGUUUUGCAAGCCAAUGCGUGCCCAUGAAUUUUUAUCUACAGUUAUGCAUGCUCUUAUGUCAUUAGGAGUUAAUUCUAUCACAGCUAUGAAAGACAAUCAGGUUUUGGGCAUGUGUUAUUCUGCACUGUUUCUCACGCUAGGUUUCGCUGAUUGAUACUGCCAUAUAUGAUUCUCCACUAAAUUUUUCCUACGUGCAUAUUGUAAACUGGGUCAUAAUAGAUAUCUGGCACAUUAAGAAUAUGCCACUGUCUUAACUUCUUCUACUCUAAUUGUGGGAAUAUAAACUCCUCUUGUAGAAGUGUAUUAUUAAUAUGUUACUCUGAAGUUUGCCACAGUUCAAUGUUCAGAUAUACAUGAACAAAGAGCAGUUUCUACGACAACCGGUGUAGAAAUGGGGCAGUUUCUACAGCCGUGUUUUAAAUAAAUUGACUUUUUCCACCAUAUUUUGCUCUAUCCUUAUAAAAUAAUACCAAACCAAUUUCGCCAUAUUUUGGUCUUGAUACUGAAGAAAAAUGGGAUGUUUGCAUACAUUAUUGUUUUUCUACACGCUUAUUAUUGUAGGCAUCAGUAAGCGCAGCUUAGGAAAUUUCAAUCUAUUCAAAAUAAUAUGAAAAUACCUUUUGUAUGAAUUCUCUUACUCUAGCUUUUCCAGUACAUGACGUCUUAUAAACUACAAGUGCAAUAUACAUUGUUCUAUGCUGAAUUUUACAUGUUCUUUGUGUUCGCAGCACAUAUGCCUAUUUAAAUAUAUUUCAAUCUGCUCCCUUUUUUACAAAAUAUACAUCAUCAGGUCAGAUGACAUCAAAUAUCUCUCCCACCUUUGACUGAUACUCUAUCUCUUCAAUAUUUGACUUCCAUUGCUUUUACUAUCUAUAUGCUGAACUAACAAUGCUACUGUUGCAUCUUUGUUCUUGAGUACUAAGUAACGUCUGGGAACAAAAAUAUCUCUUCGUCGCUUCUUGAAAGUUUAUAUGCAAUUUCCGGUCUUGGGUACAUGCAGCGAUCUGAAAAGUGUGUUCUUAGAUGUGCAGCUGAAAUUACUUUCUUUUUAAACCUAAAUCAAACACACACGAUACAAAUUACUUUCUUUUUAAAAAGGCAACACCUUCUCCUAAAAAAAUAGCACAUAUGUUUACCUUUUUUAUUUAUUGGACAAUUUGUAUUAUGAAUACUGGAAUAUACUUUCGCAAGAAGGGUUUCUGGCCAUGACACGUGUCCAUGAUGUUCACAAAAAAUUGCUGUUGGUUUCCAUUUUUUCUUCGAUUUUUUGUAUCGUGGCCCUUUGAAGCAGACAACUAUGGAUUCCGACUCAUCAUACCCUCUUCAUUUACUCGGAGUGUCUCUGUUGGGUUGAACGAAUUCUACGAGAACCUAUGAUCUAUUGGACUUCCCGACGUAUCUGAGUUGAUUCUCUUUUUUUUUGAAGAAGGCUUCCUCAUGGCGACAGCCUAGCUCCCACAUACGCGAGGUGGCGCCCUCGGAGCUGCUCCUCCAGGUAUAGCUUCAUGACACAUCGCCCUGUAGACCAGACCCAGGCGACAACUGCAGUUCACGGAGGAGCUCGAUCAGAGGGAGACCAGGGCAGCGGAGAGCUUGGAUGGGGAAUAGUUUGGGGUAGGUGGCAGCUCAGCGGUCAACGCAGGAGGUUGUUGGAGGUAGGGCUCUGGUAGGAUAGAAGGUGACCAAAUCAUCAAGGUGGAGCUCUCGAUGGAUGAUAUGGACGGACGGAUGCAGGUCAUAAAGAAAUAUUGAGGGCACCGCUUUGACCGCUCGAGAUCUCAACAAGGGUAUUAUUGCUUUGCUGUUAUAAUUUAACAUUCAGAUGAUUUUGGUGCUGAUAAUGGAGAUGCUAAUUUUCCGGAAAGGUCAGUGAAUA